rnacentral:lncRNA from 1 species
UGGGAAGUUGGAUUUCGCUUUAUUCGGUUCUACUUCCUCUGUUUUAGGAACAUGCCAUCUUUCAGCAAACAAUUAUGUGCCAGGUUUGUAGAAGUCUGGAGAGGAAACACAUGCACUGUGCCAGCUCUCGGGGGCCCUUCUCAUGGGAGUUGUGAACAUCCAAACACGAAGCUGGAGGACAAAGUGUAGGGUACACAGAUCUGAGCAUGUACCUGGGGCGCAAAGGAGGAACCACCAGCUCAGUGCACAGGGAGGCCAGGGAGGGCUUCUAGCAGAGGUCACAACCAAGCUGAACCUGCUCCAUCAGAGGCACUGUUGAGUGCAGGCCCAGAGGCCCCACUGGUUUUAUGCCAGGGUUGGUGCCCAGAAGAGCUCCAGCCAGGGCUUACUGGAUGGGAGCAGCAUCUCCUGACUCCAGGGUCCAGGCCUUCUAGGCUGCAUUCCCCUUCAAAGUCCAGUGUCCUCCCCAGGCCCGGGAGAGGCCCAGGUCCCAGGUCGGCAGUGCUGGUCUUCACCUUUGCCACUGAACCCGAGCACAGGAGACAUAUAACUCUCAAGAAAACACCAUUCGAGAGAAAGCCAGAAGCCCACACCAACAUUUUGCAUUCAAGACUGUGGGGCUUAUGGAAGGCCAGUGGACAGAGCCCUCCCAAACAUCGAGAGCCUGCUGGAUCGUAAAUAUCAGUUGCACCCAAGUUUCUGCAAAAGUCAGAGGGCAAGAGGUGUUGCAGGGAAGGGCCCAGGUUAAACAAAGGCUGCACAUUGUGGGUGAUGGACACUCCACAACCAAGCUCAAGACACUCUCUAGAGGGCCAAGUCUCUGCGUUCCCAGGACCCCCACGAGCCCACCCUGGGAGCUCACUGACAGAGUGCAGUGUAGACUUCCAUUCUACAGCUUGGACUCAGCUGCUACCCACAGGGAGGAAGGGAGCCUGGAACACAGCCACUUCUGCGCACCUGCGUCUGCCUGCUGGAGGCCACCAGGCCUGCUUACUAGACCCUACUGAGGCUGCUGCCCCUCCUUCUCCAAAGCACCAUUAAACAACUCACGUGGGGGGCUGGGGGAGGUGACCCCAGGAGGUCUAGCCUGAUGGUUGAACAGGGGCAGGGAUGUGCGCCUGCAUGUCCACUUUGCCCUGCAGCAUGUGGGCAGCUGGCAUUCUAGGAGGUAGAUCCACUCGAAAGCAAUCAAAGCCACGGAGUGUGUGAUUCUGACAGAGGGGGUGGUGGGAUGUCAGCGGUGGAGGGCUUCUUAUGGCCUAGAAAAGUGAGGGGACUUCUUGCAGAAGUGGGCUUGACCUGGGCUUUUCAGGAUGGGAGCAAAUUUGAAGGAGGAGAGAGGACAUCAUCUCCAUCCUUGGUACCCGGGGCAAGCCACAGCACGCACAGACCUCAGCUGCAUCACCGGUAAAAUGGGAGUAGACUUUGAUCUGUCCCAGAAUACCCUCCUUCCCUGGAGAUGUGGUACCUGAGUCUGGGUGGCGACCCCUCCCCAUCUGCAUAGAUACACCUGGAACAGGAUCCAGGCCCCUGGAUGUCACUCUUUUGUGUUUUACACUUCACUGGCCUCACUUAUGGCCACCUAAACCCCUUAGCUCCUGGGCCAAGUCUUCAGGGACUCCAAGGGAGAUGGAGAUGCCUUGCAAGGAUGUCUUUGGAGACCUCAAUUGGGACAGGUCCCUGCCUGGCAGUUGUGUGUGUGUGUGUGUGUGUGUGUGUGUGUGUGUGUGUGUACACCCACCCUCCCGAGGCGGGGUUUCCUUCUUUCCCUCUCCUUUGCGAGCCUCACCAAGGCAGGCCUGCCACCUGGAGCCCCUCCACUCGUGGGUUUGUUUUUAUUUUUGCUUUUAAAUGUAAUAUUUGGGCCGGCUGUGGUGGCUCAUGCCUGUAAUCCCAGCACUUUGGGAGGCCGAGGCGGGUGGAUCACCUGAGGUCAGAGUUUGAGACCACCCUGACCAACAUGGAGAAACCCCGUCUCUACUAAAAAAUAUAUAUAUAUAUUAGCCAGGCCCCAACUACUCGGGAGGCUGAGGCAGGAGAAUCGCUUGAAUCCAGGAGGCGGAGGUUGCAGUGAGCUGAGAUCGCACCAUCGUACUCCAGCCUGGGCAGCAAAAGUAAAACUCCAU